rnacentral:rRNA from 1 species
AGGACGAACGCUGGCGGCGUGCUUAACACAUGCAAGUCGAACGAGGCGCUUGCGCCUAGUGGCGAACGGGUGAGUAACACGUGAGCAACCUGCCCUUGGCUCUGGGAUAGCCUCCGGAAACGGGGAUUAAUACCGGACAUGACCUUCUCCUGCAUGGGGGGAGGGUGGAAAGUUUUUCGGCCAGGGAGGGGCUCGCGGCCUAUCAGCUUGUUGGGGGGGUAACGCCCACCAAGGCGACGACGGGUAGCC